UGUUGGCGUCAAACAAUCCCAGUGGGGCAAUGACCCCUAUCAAAAAUACUCACCCAUCAACACCGGGGCUGUAUUUCCUCGUCUUCCAAGGAGUUCCAGUCCCCGAGCUAACAUGGUUGUCAUUAGUCCAGUUAGAAAGCAAGUAAUUAAUCCCAUAGGUGCUCGCCUUGUUGUCACUUUUCCUUCGGCCUGGAUGGAUUGAUACUUUAAACUACAUGUGAAGACAGAAGGCUGGGAAGGAGACGGGGGACACGUAACUAGAGGUGUUCGUCAUUACACACGCAAAGAGAGAGAGCGAUUCCAGACACCAUUUGCAGUCAACCCUACACACAGCCAUCUUCCAGCCCAUUAAACUCUGUAAUGGAAUGAGGCAAGCUGGAGCCUACUGGCAGCACCUUCUGUACUGUGUGUGCGCUCUUUGCAUAAUGUCUGCUUCCCUCCCUGCUCACGUGCUGCAUGUGACAGAGCCAAGGAAAACCCCCAGAGCAAGAAUGUCAGGUUGAGUAUUGCUCACUCCCUCACUAGCCCACUCUCUCUCCCUCCAUCACUAUCUUUUCACUCUCCCUUUCUUUUGGUCUCUCUCUAUGGCAGCAACAAGCUCUGGGUGAUAAACUAAUCCAGUGGCCUUACUGACUGAAUGGAGCAUUUCUCUCAUUUGUAUCUAGUUCACAACCCCAUUUUCAGCCCUAAGGCUGUGGUCGCCUCACGAAGUGUGUGUGCAGUGAAGGGUUGGUUCAUCCUCAGUGCUGCUAGCACUACAAAUCAUAGGGGAAGACUACAACACUGCUCACGACAGAUUCCUCUGACACACACGUGAGUGCACGAAUAUACAAAGAGCUAGUUUCUUCCACAAGCAGUGAAAUCUGUCUGUGUGCAUUCCUAUGUGUUGACAGGAAGUUAAUUCUCAGUCCUUCUAGCACUGGGUUGUCUCACCAGGGAAACUAGAGCUCUACUGACAGAUUGUGUUUUGAUGGUUGGCUCAUUCUCAAACACUGCUGCAGGGAGUUAGGGGAAGGGUAGAGGUUAGGGGAUGUGUUGAAAUGGAGCUGAACCUUUGUAAGAUGGAUUGGUUCUGUUGGUUGGUCCGCUGUGAAAGUAUCGUAAAAGUAAUAGUCGCCACAUUCUAUAGUAAAUCUCAUUGCGGGACAUAACCAAGUUGGUGAGAGCUGAGGUGCAACCAUGUGAAAAAUAUAUCCAGCCACUCUUGGAGGAUUUUUUUUUUCUCAAUAAAAUAAAUUGCCUCAACUUGA